UGUCAGAUGGCCCGGUCACUUUAUUGGUGGGGAGGGAAGUGUUCGUAGUUCAUAUUGGACUGUGAUGGUGAGUUAGUGAGGAGCCUUGUGAGAGAAGGGAAACUGAAUCAGGCUGCUAUGGAGCCAUCCCUGGCAAUGAGACGGAGGCUCCUACAUGAAAAGACUGUUCCCAGCAUGCAAAAUCUUACAAAGGGCUUGGGUUUGUACUGAUGAUGGGAGAAAAUGGAGUUGUUACUUCUAACAGAAGAGAAUCAGUAUCUAACAAAUUAGUCAGCAGACAUGAGCAGCCUCACCCAAAUUAAAAGAAAAGAUCCCUAACCAGCAAGACAUGCCUUGCAGGGUAAGGGAAUUAAACACUUCUGUUUCCUGCGAACCUGAAUUACACCACAUGGAAUAACAUAUUCGUGACUUUUCCUCUGCCAGCCUGUUCUCUUCAGAUCAACAUCAAUGUGUCUCCUGAUGACGGAGGAUUCUUCAUAUGAAAGCCAUCAAGAGGAAUACUAAAAAGACCUUAAUAAUUAACCUGUUGUGACAGUGACAAUAUAUGGGGAAGUUAGGCCAAUGGAGCCAUGCAGGACAACUUCAGAUUCCACACACCUACAGCAUCCUUUCUUCUAAGACCCCCAGGAACCAUGAGGUUCUAACCCCCACACAGCCUCCUCCUAUCUGAGGUGGCUAGAUACCGCAGUGCAGGGCCAUGUAGAAAAACCUUUUCCUUGUAAGUAUAUUAGAUAAGCUAGAGUAGCUUUCCUGAAGCAGCAAGGAGAAUGCCACUGGGUUU